rnacentral:rRNA from 1 species
AGCGAACGCUGGCGGCAGGCUUAACACAUGCAAGUCGAGCGCCCCGCAAGGGGAGCGGCAGACGGGAGAGUAACACGUGGGAACAUACCUUUUGGUUCGGAACAACUGAGGGAAACUUCAGCUAAUACCGGAUAAGCCCUUACGGGGAAAGAUUUAUCGCCGAAAGAUUGGCCCGCGUCUGAUUAGCUAGUUGGUGAGGUAACGGCUCACCAAGGCGACGAUCAGUAGCUGGUCUGAGAGGAUGAUCAGCCUCACUGGGACUGAGACACGGCCCAGACUCCUACGGGAGGCAGCAGUGGGGAAUAUUGGACAAUGGGGGCAACCCUGAUCCAGCCAUGCCGCGUGAGUGAUGAAGGCCUUAGGGUUGUAAAGCUCUUUUGCCCGGGAAGACAAUGACGGUACCGGGAGAAUAAGCCCCGGCUAACUUCGU